rnacentral:lncRNA from 1 species
AAGUAGGUGCCAGGUAGGGUGACCUUCUAAUUGUUGGGGUCACUGGGCUUUGCCAUAAUCUCUAGGAGACCAUGAAACUUUUGAGCAUUGGAUAGUGAGAUGAGUAGGGUCUAUCUGGCUGAUUGAGAGCACCCAAUGUGUUAGAAAAUUAGUCAGUGUCUUGUGUCUCCUUCUGAUUGGCAGUUGAAGAUCAAGCUUCCCCCCGCAUGGCAGAAUGGUGCAGGAGUUCAAGAGUCCCUUGGAACACCAUUCUCCAGGCUUUGCUAACUAGCCUGUUUCCCUCUCCCCAUGCCUGUUCCUACAGGACA